AUAUCAAUCAUCUUCUGUAUUUCGAAUUCAAAAUGGCUGUCGACUAGCAUCACGUUUGAAACUCAAGAGUACCAACGAAUUUGAAUCAAACUGUUUUGAUCCAUACAUGUAUCUCCCAAUAAAUUAGUUGAGUGCCCUUCUUACGCUUGUCUACUCACUCUUAUAUAUACAUAUACAUAUGUAUAUAUAUAUAUAUACAUACAUAUAUAUAUA